rnacentral:rRNA from 1 species
UACAGAGGGUGCAAGCGUUAAUCGGAAUUACUGGGCGUAAAGCGUGCGUAGGCGGUUAUGUAAGUCGGGUGUGAAAGCCCCGGGCUCAACCUGGGAAUGCCAUUCGAGACUGCAUAGCUAGGGUGCGGAAGAGGGAAGCGGAAUUUCCGGUGUAGCGGUGAAAUGCGUAGAUAUCGGAAGGAACACCAGUGGCGAAAGCGGCUUCCUGGUCCAGCACCGACGUUCAGGCACGAAAGCGUGGGGAGCAAACAGG